ACACGUAGGGGGCAAGCGUUGUCCGGAUUUAUUGGGCGUAAAGAGCUCGUAGGCGGUUCGGUAAGUCGGGUGUGAAAACUCUGGGCUCAACCCAGAGACGCCACCCGAUACUGCCGUGACUCGAGUCCGGUAGGGGAGCAUGGAAUUCCUGGUGUAGCGGUGAAAUGCGCAGAUAUCAGGAGGAACACCAGUGGCGAAGGCGGUGCUCUGGGCCGGUACUGACGCUGAGGAGCGAAAGCGUGGGUAGC
rnacentral:rRNA from 1 species